CCCCUCUCAGGGUCACACCUGGAGAGUUUCCAGUACUCUACCAGUCUUGACUAGAGGAGGGAUAGUCAAGCAAAGGCAUAUCCAUUCCAUUCCUUGCUUGGGCAGUGGCUAACGAGUGGAAAGCAAUCUGCUACACGU